rnacentral:rRNA from 1 species
UACAGAGGCCUCGAGCGUUAGGCGGAAUCACUGGGCUUAAAGCGUGUGUAGGCGGACUUCUAAGUGCCUUGUGAAAUCCCACGGCUCACCCGUGGAACGGCUGGGCAUACUGGGAGUCUUGAGCCACCUAGGGGCUGCCGGAACAAAUGGUGGAGCGGUGAAAUGCGUAGAUAUCAUUUGGAACGCCAACGGUGAAAACAGGCAGCUGGGGGUGUGCUGACGCUGAGACACGAAAGCCAGGGGAGCGAACGGGAUUAGAUACCCCGGUAGUCCUGGCCGUAAACGAUGUCGACUAGAUCGUGGCGCCCGCUGACGGGCUCACGGUCGAAGCCAAAGUGCUAAGUCGACCGCCUGGGAAGUACGGUCGCAAGGCUAAA